rfam:Aspergillus clavatus NRRL 1 1099423829792 genomic scaffold, whole genome shotgun sequence.
GGUCUAUUGGCUCAAUGGUAGAGCACCUGUCUCCUAUGCGGACAACAGGAGGUUGUGGGUUCGAGUCCCAUGUAGAUCG